rnacentral:rRNA from 1 species
AUUGAACGCUGGCGGCAGGCCUAACACAUGCAAGUCGAGCGGAUGAAGGGAGCUUGCUCCUGGAUUCAGCGGCGGACGGGUGAGUAAUGCCUAGGAAUCUGCCUGGUAGUGGGGGAUAACGUCCGGAAACGGGCGCUAAUACCGCAUACGUCCUGAGGGAGAAAGUGGGGGAUCUUCGGACCUCACGCUAUCAGAUGAGCCUAGGUCGGAUUAGCUAGUUGGUGGGGUAAAGGCCUACCAAGGCGACGAUCCGUAACUGGUCUGAGAGGAUGAUCAGUCACACUGGAAAAGGACCGCGGGCCAGUCUCCUAGGGGAGGCAGCAGGGGGAAAUAGUGAAAGAGGGGAGAAAACCUAAACCACCCGUGCCGGGGGUGGAAGGAGGGUUUGCGAAUUGUAAAGAAUUUUAAUUGGGGAGAAGGGGAAGGAAGUAAAUACUUUGUUGUUUCGCCUUUACAAAAGAAAAAGCCGCCGGCAAACUUCGUC